rnacentral:rRNA from 1 species
AGAGUUUGAUUAUGGCUCAGGAUGAACGCUAGCGGCAGGCUAACACAUGCAAGUCGAGGGGCAGCGGGAUGUAGCAAUACAUUGCCGGCGACCGGCGGAUGGGUGCGUAACGCGUAUGCAACCUACCUUAUACAGGGGAAUAACCUUUCGAAAGGGAGACUAACACCCCAUAGUAUUGAUUUAAGGCAUCUUAGAUUAAUUAAAUAUUUAUAGGUAUAAGAUGGGCAUGCGUAUGAUUAGCUAGUUGGUAAGGUAACGGCUUACCAAGGCGACGAUCAUUAGGGGUUCUGAGAGGAAGGUCCCCCACACUGGUACUGAGACACGGACCAGACUCCUACGGGAGGCAGCAGUGAGGAAUAUUGGUCAAUGGGCGCAAGCCUGAACCAGCCAUGCCGCGUGCAAGGAAGACGGCCUUAUGGGUUGUAAACUGCUUUUACAUAAGACUAACCGUAUAUUUGCGAAUAUACCUGAAUGUAUUAUGAGAAUAAGGAUCGGCUAACUCCGUGCCAGCCGCCGC